UACGGAGGGUGCAAGCGUUAUCCGGAAUCAUUGGGUUUAAAGGGUCCGUAGGCGGACUGAUAAGUCAGAGGUGAAAUCCCACAGCUCAACUGUGGAACUGCCUUUGAUACCGUCAGUCUUGAGUUACUUGGAAGUAGAUAGAAUGUGUAGUGUAGCGGUGAAAUGCAUAGAUAUUACACAGAAUACCGAUUGCGAAGGCAGUCUACUACGAGUAUACUGACGCUGAUGGACGAAAGCGUGGGGAGCGAACAGG
rnacentral:rRNA from 1 species